rnacentral:rRNA from 1 species
AUAAAUACAAGGACUAGAUGAGUCCUCUCCGUGCUCCACUUGCUCCCUCUCCGACCCGGGAUCUGUGUCGAAACCCCUUUACCAAUCAAUCUGGCAAAGGGACAUUCCCCAUCAGAUGUCCCAGCAGAGCCGUACUGUUGGGGGUGAGCGAGCUCUGCACAAAGCCUUUGGAGAGGCAUACCUUUCCGAGCCCAACUUUGUGUUUGUUGCCUCCUGGGUGGUAGGGCACUGGGGAUAUGCCAUUUAUUUGCCAGGGCACAAGGGAUCCAUCCUGCCCAGGCACAUUUGAAUGCAUGUCACUAACAGAUGUUUGUUCUCUGAGCCUGGACAUCUGGUAGUUGGCCAUAGGAAUGAAUGCAAGGACAAAAUGGCUGGGCUGCUCUAGAAGCUAGUUUGGGAGCCAAAAUGGCAUUUAUUUCCAGUUGGGUCUUUAAUUAGGCUAGGCACUUUUGACCAGACCUCCCCCUCUGUCACCUAGGGUACACAGAUUACAGGAAAUCUUAAUCACAUUCCACCAGAUAAGUGUAGACAGUGUGCAUCACUCCACCCAAGCCAGAACAAGAGCCAUUCCACACGAGAUCUCUAAACAGAUUCAGGCUGCUUGGUGCACCAUGGCAGCCCAUGCAAAGCAUUUGAUGCUCUUCUGAGAGGGAUACCUUUCUGGGGAGCAGGGAGCCUAGCCGUCAAGACAACCACAGCAGACUUGCAAAUGGAUGGAAGGAUGGCCUGCCUGUGUUUCUCCCUGCACCCCAUAGGAUAGAUUUGGUGUACUUGAUCUGUCUAGGGCUGGACUGCUUGGCAGGCCUCUGCCGUUGUUUCAAGUAAUUAGCUUCCACCCAGCUUGGGACCAGGUUGACUGGUGUGUAAGACCCAGAGAGGGCCUCUGACGUCAGUGGCUCUCCUCUGCAAGAAGAUCAAAGUCUGAGCAGUUUAGCAGCUCCCAGUGGUCAGAUAAGUGUAGACAGAGUUAAGUGGUCCUAACCCAGGUGGCACAUGGUGGUGCAGGUUUGGUAAGCAAUGCAGUUUCCCUUUCUCCAUUGAGCAUAUUGCGUGUUAAUAGAAGCCCGGGUGAGGGCCUGGCUGGUCGUACUGCAGGUGCAGACUUGGUGGUAGUAGCAAAUAUUCAAAUAAGAACUUUGAAGGCCAAAGUGGAGAUGGAUUACAUGUGAAAAGCAGUUGAACAUAGGUCAGUCGGUCCUAAGUGAUGAGUGAACGCCUCUCAAACGGUACGAGGCGAUGAACUCUGUGACGAUUAGCUGAUCGAAAGGGAGUUGGGUUCAGAUCCCUGAACCCAUAGUGGUGGAGUUGGCUGCCCUCUUGACGUCCAGAGCAGUAACGCAAACAAUUUCGGAGAAGCUGUCAGGAGCACCAGAAGAGUUCUCUUUUCUUUGUGAAGGGCAGGACACCCUGGUGUGGGUUUGCCCAGAUAGAGGGGCCUGAGCCUUGGAAAGUCUUGCAGUUCCGGCUAUUUCUGUGAGCUCAUACUGGUCCUUGGAAAUCAGGAGAGAUAGUGUAAAUCUUGCACCAGGCAGUACCCAUAUCUGCAGCAGGUCUCUAAGGUGUGCAGCCUCUGGCAGGUUGGAACAAUGUAAAUAAGGGAAGUCAGCAAGUCAAAUCUAUACCUUUGGGAUAAGGAUUGGCUCUAGGUUUGGUCAGUUGGGCUCGGGUGCGAAGUCGGGCUGGGCAUGCAUUGCUGCUUGAUGAGGCAUCUCCCCCAAAGGGCACUGCUGACUCUGGACCCAAGCUGGGCCCUUCCUCUGGAUUGCCCCAGCUGUGGUUCUCGCUCUCUCCAUUUCCCUUCCUGGGUUCAGGGCUGGCAUUCUUCCUCGGCCGAUGCCUAGCAGCUCACUUAAAAGUGAUCCAGGGGAACACGACUGUUUAAUUAAAACAGCAUUGUGAAGACCCACGACAGUUGUUGACACAAUGUGAUUUCUUCCCAGUGCUCUGAAUAUCAAAGUAAAGAAAUUCAAUGAUGAAUGGUGUAAAUGGCAAGAGUUACUAAAACAGUUUAAAAGCAACCAAAUGCCUCAUCAUCUAAUUAGUGACGUGCAUGAAUGUGAAUGUAUGAGAAGAUUCCCACUGUCCCUACUAUCUAGAGAAGCCACAGCCAAGGGAACAUGCUUGACAGAAUCAGAGGAGAAAGAAGAGCAUGCAGAGCUUGAAUCCAGUCUGGCACUGUCAAGAGACAUGAGAGGUGUAGGAUAAGUGGAGGACCUCAGGCCGCCAAUGAAAUGCCACUGCACUAAUUGUUUUUUCAUGUACGCAGUGAGGCUGGGGCCGGCCCCGUGGGGCUCUCUUCUUCUGGCUCUAAGUGGCUGGCCUCUGCCAGCCAUGACCCACUAUGGGACCGUGGCAUCUGGGGAAUUUUUACUGGGUGGUACAUCUGUCAAACAAUAACACAGGUACCUAAGGCAAGCUCAGGAAGGAGGGACACCUCCUGCAGUGCUGAAAGGCAAAAGCUUGCUUCAUCUUAGUUUUCAGUAUGAAUACAGACCAUGAAAGCGGGGCCUCAGGAUGCUUCUGAAAUUUUUGGUUUCAAGCAAGAGGUGUCAGAUAAGUUAUCACAUGGAUAACUGGCUUGUGGCAGCCAUGCGUUCAAAGCAAUGUUGCUAUUUGAUCCUGGGAUGUUGGUUCUACCUUUCAUUAUCAAGCAGAAUUCAACAAGCAUUGGAUUGUUCCCCCACUAAUAGGGAAACGUGAGCUGGGUUGAGACCAGCUUGAGACAGGUUAGUUCUACCAUUCACAUUAGGUGGUGAUAAUUGACAAUCGAUUGAUAUCUACAUUAGCAUAGCAAUUCACUCUGGUUAUGUACUGAAAUGUAAAGGACAAGAGGGUGUGGACUGCAGUUGAUUUAAAGUUUGUGUAUUUGUUUUCUUUUUGAAGGUGUCCUUUUUCAUGUACAGGGUACAUAUGAAAGAGUGGAAUGUGCAAUACACUUAGGGGUUCAUUUUCCACUGAGCAUAUGCCUAACGUCCUAACCAACUGCUGAAAUAUCUCUAAUUACUAUUAUUCUAUUAAAGUUAGCAUACUGUAAAUACACCACUAAC